UGGGGAAUUUUGGACAAUGGGGGCAACCCUGAUCCAGCAAUGCCGCGUGUGUGAAGAAGGCCUUCGGGUUGUAAAGCACUUUUGUCCGGAAAGAAAACGCCGUGGUUAAUACCCGUGGCGGAUGACGGUACCGGAAGAAUAAGCACCGGCUAACUACGUGCCAGCAGCCGCGGUAAUACGUAGGGUGCAAGCGUUAAUCGGAAUUACUGGGCGUAAAGCGUGCGCAGGCGGUCCGCUAAGACAGAUGUGAAAUCCCCGGGCUUAACCUGGGAACUGCAUUUGUGACUGGCGGGCUAGAGUAUGGCAGAGGGGGGUAGAAUUCCACGUGUAGCAGUGAAAUGCGUAGAGAUGUGGAGGAAUACCGAUGGCGAAGGCAGCCCCCUGGGCCAAUACUGACGCUCAUGCACGAAAGCGUGGGGAGCAAACAGGAUUAGAUACCCUGGUAGUCCACGCCCUAAACGAUGUCAACUAGUUGUCGGGUCUUCAUUGACUUGGUAACGUAGCUAACGCGUGAAGUUGACCGCCUGGGGAGUACGGUCGCAAGAUUAAAACUUAAAUGAAUUNACGGGGUCAUAGCUGUUUCCUG
rnacentral:rRNA from 1 species